UUAACUAAACUCUGCUUUUCUCCCUUUGUUUGGUUUAUGAUUGACUUCGUGUUCGUGUCUGUGUUUGUGUUUGUGUUCAUUCUUGUUCAAGCAUUCUAAGUUAAUAGUAUAUUACAUAAACUGACUACUUGUGUGAUGAUUUAUUUAGCAGAUGGCUUCUGGAGAUUCAUAUAUGUUGCAUCUCUGAUGCGUUUGGAGAGCCGGAAAUCGUGCCUCGGGAUAUCAUGCUGAACUACCUCAGCUUCUUUGAGAUUCAAACACUUUGUCUCACUCAAAUAGGCGAGCGCAGUGGUAAAGACUAUCGUUCAGUGCCUGAAAUUUACAAAGAACUUUGUCGAGGUAAAGAAAUUUGUUGGGACGAAGGAUAUGGUAGCUGUGCAGUCGUACUACAAUGGGACGUUCCACUCUUCGCUCGAAGGAUGAAGCACACGAGACGUACAUUAGGCCGGGGAUUGUUGUAUAUAUAUAGGCUAAGGCUGCAAGGAUUUCAAUCUUGUUUCUAAAUCAUUAGAGAAUGAAAAGAUUGAAUGGAGAGGUUGGCGUUCGGAGCAGGCCACAAGCUACAGACAUGUUGCUUAUUCAAGCUCAAGUCGUAGCCUAGUUUUCCUCAUGCCCGGGAUCAAGAGACUUUCAGGAGAUGGAACAUGUGAGAGGUGAUCAGUAUUUCGAGCCUGUGGGUGACGUGUUGAGCAAGGUUGCGCGAGAGAGAUCCCUGUCAGCGCUGGUCGCGACAACGAGGCCGAAAAAAUGUGGUUGCAAAUGACCCAUUAAAACAAAACUAAAAUGUACUCCAUGUUUUAUGAUGCAUUUAUUUGAUUUACUACUA